GUAUGUUUGUUUCAGAUUUGCAUGUGAGAACCUUGGAGGACUUUGGGGAAGAUCCGGUUGUACAAGGACUCAGAGAAGCAGUUGGUGUUCUCUUGAGAAAUGAAACACAGGAACCAGAUGGCCUUGGGCCCGAAGAUGAAACGACUUCCAGUAAGCAGCACGCUUCAGUGAUCUCAUUUCAAUGCUUGAUAAAAUGGUCAUGUCCUGCUAAUAAAUGGC
rnacentral:lncRNA from 1 species